rnacentral:tRNA from 1 species
UAAGAAUUAGUUAAAUAAUAUAACAUUAAAUUGUCAAUUUAAAAUAAUUUUUUUUAAAAUAAUAUUCUUAA